CUAGUGAGCCGAUCUGUUGUCAGGGGUGGGGGCGGGUGAUGGCGGGAGGAGAGCAUCUGGUUUCUGAAGCUGUCCGGCUGAGGAUUUGACUGCUGCUGCCAGCAGAUUCAUUCUCAGAGGAGGACGACGGCCAGACAUGGCUCCUCCACAGCCCGCAAAUCAACACUCCUCCUGUUUGAAAGAGCAGCUCGAAGCUUUCCACCUGUCACCAAAUCAGACUCCCAGGUCAGUGGGCUGCCCACACCAGUGCCCUGGAAUUCCUGCAAGACCCUGAUUCUGCCCCAGGAGGAGGAGGCUUUGAGAGUAAGAUCAGCACCUGUUUCCUGUCUGGAGAAUCCAGAAGGAGAAGGGAUGGCUGAAAUCACCACCCGUGAUGGCAGGUGCAGGAAAGAGGGCAGGACAGGGCAGCAAGACUACACUCCCAGGACUUGGCAUGGCAAGGACUCCAGUGCACCAGGGAAGGAAGACUCCGAAACAGCCAAAGAGAGGAGUUGAAGAGCGGAAAUGGCACUGCAGAGAAAACGCAGCCUCUCCUCCCUGUUCUCUGUGUGGGUCCCCAAACGUCAGUCGAGCCUUAGGAGAGCAGACUGUGCAAUUUCAUCCCCAAAGUUUACUCGAAUAUCUGGGAGCUGGUGAAACUGUCAAGGGAUCUAGGGUGGGGGUGGGAUGGGCAGAUAUAGGUGUAAAGGCAGGUGUUGGAGAAAAUUCUCUGUUUCCUUUUAGGACCCCCCAUCCACGUCAGUUCAUGCACUAGGUUAGCUUUCUACACACCUUCCAACCAGCUACAAACACACUGAAUUCUUGGCAGGGGAUACGAUUAUCUUCAUUUCACAAAGGAAGACACUGACACAGAGAAUUUAGGGUCCUUGUUCCAAAUCUUCAAAUUCAAAUCAUUUCCUUCUUGGUCAAGGAUUCUUUAUGUCAUAAAAUAGGAACUUCCCAGAAUGAUGGGAUGCUCUGGGUGGGGGUGGAGGGGCACCAUGGGCCAACAUCUGGCGAUGGGAUCCCCCUGUGGCAUGGGGUGACGUAGGUUGGGGACAGUCUGACAUGCCUCCCUGAUGACUCAGCCUCAGCCAGCAAUGGGCAUGCGGACACGUGAAAUGACUUCACCUCUCUUUUCAUGAUGCUGGAUCCUGGAGGCAUUUGGUUAUGGGAGGAACCUGCUAGAGACGGCCCUGUGCUGAGUUCACAGCCUCCUUGUAAACCCGUCUUUCAGCAGCCUGUACCUUCCCUCUCUCCCUUUAAUUGUCUCUGUGAUCUACUGUGACGCACGAGCGCACAUGUACAUACACACAUGGCUGACACGUUGCACACACACGCACAAUCACUCAUACACAUAAGCAUGCCCAUGUACAAAUACAGACCCACAUGCACGCAAGCUGCUUUUCGCAGGAGUGGAGAAAUCAGUUGCAUUACUACGCAGGCAUCUCUCCCCUAUGAGUCAAAGUAGCAUACUGAGCACAGAAGGAGGAAUAUUUUCCUUUCUGAGAUAGCUGAGAGGUUUCCCCUGAGGAAAUAACUCAGAAAAAUGUUGCCUUCGAAAAGCAGAUCAUUCUCAAAGGGAAAUUUCCUGCCCAAACAUUUGUUUUCUUGACGUGGAGACAAGUGAGGCAACCCCUUCCCCCCAUCUUGGCUUGGCUCCUCUACCUGAGACUCAUGGGGCUCCACUGUGAGCCGGAGCAGGUGGCUGUCCCACAAAGACCUGGGCCAUUGAGUGUCCUCCAGCAGGGUCGACGUGGCCAUUAAUCCCCUCUCCUAGCUCAUCCCCUCCCUUGUUCUCCUUAGGACUACUUAGGACUUGAACAUUCUGAGGCUCCUGCUCAAAGGAACGUCUCCUCCUCAGAUAAAUCUAGGAGAGAUGCUCUGAGGACUGUUGUCUAUGGUAAAGGCAUAAAGGUACUUAGAAAUGCAGGAGAUGAACCAGAACCAAAUGCCAGGGACAACAGGGAACAAGGGGCAAACAGAGUUGGCCUCAAGCUUCCAGGGAAGAGAGAGGGAGACAGAGAAAGAGAGAGAGGAAAAGAGAUUCUGGAAUCACUCAGAAGAGAGCUGGAAAAUGUGGAUGGAACAGAAAAGUCUCAAGCUAUGUAUGGGGAGGUGGCAGACCUCUCUCAGACCACAAGGGCUGGACUCUGUGGUCAAGUACUGAAUGCCAAAUGUGGACACGAGGGUCAUCAGUCAAGGGAAGUGACUCGUCUGUUGUCUUGUAGUUGAAUUCACUUUGAACAGUCAGAGAGGUUGUUCUGGGGAAGUUACCUCUCUGGCCUGGAACAUAAACACAGUCAAAAAGGCCCAGGGUCGAGCUGGCAAGGGGCCUCUCCCUGGGGAGAGCAGACCACCCACAUCAUUUGGGAGACCACUUUAGGCUUGUCUGGGAGGCCUUUUGAUGUGUCUGUUAUACCAAAGAUAGUGUUUUGAGGUUCCCAAGUAUUUAUUCGUUUGGCUGUCAUGUAAAAGACAAACAGCAGGAGAGAGAAAAACUGUUUUAACUCAAGUAAUAGGCAAAGACUAAAAAUGAAAUCAAUUCAAUGUAAUUAACAAGAAUCGAUCACCUCUCCUCAUUCUCCUGCUAACUAUUGAAAGAAAAAGAAGGAGAUGGGGAAGGGGGAGGGGGAGGGGAUGAAGAAAGGAAAGAAAGGACAGGAAAGAGAAAGAGGAAAGACAGGAGGGGAGAGGGAGGGCCAUGAGAACAAUCAAUAUAAUCCUCUUUGGUGUGUAUUAAAAAUAAUGUAGGAUGUUUUCUGGAGAAGGAAAUGGCUACCCACUCCAGUAUUCUUGCCUGGAGAAUCCCAUGGACAGAGGAGCCUGGUGGGUUGGAGUCCAUGGAAUCACAAAGAGUCGGACAUGACUGAGCGACUAAAGUAUCAGGAUGUUUUCUUAUGUCCAUUAAAAAUGCCAUUUCCAUUGGUGUUGGAUGUGUACCCCUUCUGGUCUAGUGUUGUAUUCUUACUUUGGAUAAAGACAUGGUACCAUGAUAAAUUUUUUUCUAACUAAAGUGAAAACAAGAGCAACGAGAAGAAAACAGUGCAGCCAUGUAGAUGGAUAACUACUGAUAUUCACCCUUAGUAUUGGACCAAUAGGAAUGGGUGGGCACUGUGGCAUUCCUGUACAUCAGCCCUGUCUAAGGGGAGCAGCCAUCAUUCAGCUCACAUCUGAUUUUGUAAGAGAUGCUGAAAAUUAAGAAUUUUAAGGAAAAAACUCCAACCUUUAAAAUACUGGAUAAAAUGUUUUAAACCCAUUUCAGGCUAUGAGCGUAUCAGAGACUUCUGAUUUGUCACCUGCACCUGAAAAGAACCACUGCAAGAUUUGAAAUAAAAUGUACCAUUCAUUCUUCCCUUCAAAUCCUCCACCCUUCCCUCCGGAUGCAAAGAGCUAGGCUGGUGUUGAAGACUUCAGCACCAUCAGGACCUUUCAGUUGAAGAAAAUGACCAGAGCUGUUGUUUUGAAUGCUGUAGCAGUUUUAAAAUAUGUCCCCCAAAUUCUUUGGCACUUCUUCCAUUGAGAUGUGGAGUCUAUGUCCCACUUCCUUGAAGUUGGGUGGCCUCUGGGACCACCUUGACCAAUGACUCACUGAGAACAUCCUACUAUGUGACUUCUAGGCUGAGUUAUCAAAGGCCAUGCAGCUUCCACUCAAUUCCUAUGGAAAGCUUCUCAUGGAAUGCUCAUCUUUGGAAUGUUCAGCUGCUCGAGCUUCUGCUCACGACAGUCUUAUAGCUCAGUGACAAUGUUGAGUAAACCCCAAGCCACAUGGAGAGAUCCCCUGUAGGUCCACCCAAGCACCAGCCCCAUGAGCGCACCAUCUUGGACGAAUGUUCAGUGCAACUGAGCCUCUGGAAUAGCUCAGCCCCAGCCCCAGUGAGGGCGUGAGAGACCCCAGGUGAGGAUGAUGCAGCUGAGUCCAGUCAGCUGAGAAGCCAGGAGACAGUUACAAUUGUUUUAAGCCACCAAGUCAUACUGUGAUUUGUUACCUAGAGACAGGUAGUAGCUAGAACAAGCUUGCAGGGCUAACAAGAGAUCUGACCAGCACUACAGACCCACUUACUGUUCAGCUCCUUGGUAUUUGUGGUUGUCGUGGCCCCAGUUCUCCUGGAGCUGGAGGAAGG